rnacentral:rRNA from 1 species
AUUGAACGCUGGCGGCAUGCUUUACACAUGCAAGUCGAGCGGCAGCGCGGGGCAACCUGGCGGCGAGCGGCGAACGGGUGAGGAAUACAUCGGAACGUACCCGAGAGUGGGGGAUAACGCCGCGAAAGCGGCGCUAAUACCGCAUAUUCUCCGAGGAGGAAAGUGGGGGACCGCAAGGCCUCACGCUCACGGAGCGGCCGAUGUCGGAUUAGCUAGUUGGUGGGGUAAAGGCUUACCAAGGCGACGAUCCGUAGCUGGUCUGAGAGGAUGAUCAGCCACACUGGGACUGAGACACGGACCCGACUCCUACGGGAGGCAGCAGUAAGGAAUAUUGGACAAUGGUCGGAAGACUGAUCCAGCCAUGCCGCGUGAAGGAAGAAGGCGCUCAGCGUUGUAAACUUCUUUUGGAUGGGAAUAAUAACCUCUACGCGAUAGGGGCUUGAAGGUACCAUCAGAAUAAGCACCGGCUAACUCCGUGCCAGCAGCCG